rnacentral:rRNA from 1 species
ACGAACGCUGGCGGCGUGCUUAACACAUGCAAGUCGAACGGAAAGGCCCUGCUUUUGUGGGGUGCUCGAGUGGCGAACGGGUGAGUAACACGUGAGUAACCUGCCCUUGACUUUGGGAUAACUUCAGGAAACUGGGGCUAAUACCGGAUAGGAGCUCCUGCUGCAUGGUGGGGGUUGGAAAGUUUCGGCGGUUGGGGAUGGACUCGCGGCUUAUCAGCUUGUUGGUGGGGUAGUGGCUUACCAAGGCUUUGACGGGUAGCCGGCCUGAGAGGGUGACCGGCCACAUUGGGACUGAUAUACGGCCCAGACUCCUACGGGAGGCAGCAGUGGGGAAUAUUGCACAAUGGGCGGAAGCCUGAUGCAGCAACGCCGCGUGCGGGAUGACGGCCUUCGGGUUGUAAACCGCUUUCGCCUGUGACGAAGCGUGAGUGACGGUAAUGGGUAAAGAAGCACCGGCUAACUACGUG